UUUUUAGUGAACUUUAAUUAUUUGAAAACUAAAUUCAAUAAUUAUUUCGUGCUUUUCGGCUAUUUGAUAAAGUGACAAAGUGCUAGCUAGCUGAAAAUUAAUUGCAAUUUUAAUGUGAGAGGUUAAUUGAGAUAUUGGCUAAAAUAUAGAAGAAAAGAGUCCGGCUAUGGUGUAUGCAAAAGUACCAAGCACUUGGUGCUUGUAAAUUUUUUGCUGUAAGAUUUACCUCUUUGACCAUUUCCAUAUGUUAAAUCAUACUAUUACACUAACCACCCACUAAACCUUAUAUAGUAGCCCUAGCCUCUAUAUAUAUAUAUAUAGAGAGAGAGAGAGAGAGAGAGAGAGAGAGAGUUGAGCUAGAAUACACCUAAAAGCACCAAGAUAUUGGUGCUUUUAGAUAGUGUU
rnacentral:lncRNA from 1 species